AUUGUACUCCCUCCGUCGCAAAUUAGUCGUCUCCGAUUUGUCCGUAUCUAGACAUGUUUUAGUGUUAGAUACAUCUGUAUCUAGACAAAUCUAAGACAACUAAUUUGGGACGGAGGUAAUACUAU
rnacentral:pre_miRNA from 1 species